rnacentral:tRNA from 1 species
CGGGGUGUAGCGCAGUUGGUAGCGUACCACGUUCGGGACGUGGGGGUCGGAAGUUCGAGUCUUCUCACCCCGAC